AAUAUUGCGCAAUGGGGGAAACCCUGACGCAGCAACGCCGCGUGAAGGAUGAAGGUUUUCGGAUUGUAAACUUCUUUGAUGAGGGACGAACAAAAUGACGGUACCUCAAAAACAAGCCACGGCUAACUACGUGCCAGCAGCCGCGGUAAUACGUAGGUGGCGAGCGUUGUCCGGAAUUACUGGGUGUAAAGGGCGUGUAGGCGGGAAGACAAGUCAGAUGUGAAAUACCGAGGCUUAACCUCGGGGCUGCAUCUGAAACUGUUUUUCUUGAGUGUCGGAGAGGAAAGUGGAAUUCCCAGUGUAGCGGUGAAAUGCGUAGAUAUUGGGAGGAACACCAGUGGCGAAGGCGACUUUCUGGACGAUAACUGACGCUGAGGCGCGAAAGCGUGGGGAGCAAACAGG
rnacentral:rRNA from 1 species